rnacentral:rRNA from 1 species
UACGUAGGGUGCAAGCGUUAAUCGGAAUUACUGGGCGUAAAGCGUGCGCAGGCGGUUUUGUAAGUCUGUUGUGAAAUCCCCGGGCUCAACCUGGGAAUGGCAAUGGAGACUGCAAGGCUAGAGUUUGGCAGAGGGGGUAGAAUUCCACGUGUAGCAGUGGAAAUGCGUAGAGAUGUGGAGGAACACCGAUGGCGAAGGCAGCCCCCUGGGUUAACACUGACGCUCAGGCACGAAGCGUGGGGAGCAAACAGGA